GACGAACCGUGCGAACGUUGUUCGGAAUCACUGGGCUUAAAGGGCGCGUAGGCGGCUCGCCGCGUCCGGGGUGAAAUCCUCCCGCUCAACGGGAGAACGGCCUCGGAUACGGGCGGGCUGGAGGCGGGUAGGGGCACGCGGAACUGUGGGUGGAGCGGUGAAAUGCGUUGAGAUCCACAGGAACUCCGGUGGCGAAGGCGGCGUGCUGGACCCGAUCUGACGCUGAGGCGCGAAAGCCAGGGGAGCGAACGGG
rnacentral:rRNA from 1 species